rnacentral:rRNA from 1 species
GACUCUCGGCAACGGAUAUCUCGGCUCACGCAUCGAUGAAGAACGUAGCAAAUGCGAUACUUGGUGUGAAUUGCAGAAUCCCGUGAACCAUCGAGUUUUUGAACGCAAGUUGCGCCCGAAGCCAUUCGGUUGAGGGCACGUCUGCCUGGGCGUCA